CCUGCACCAAUAAUUUUAAUUAUUUUUGAUUGAAUGGUAGCCCAUUGAGAUUGGUCCAAUUUUAUGUAAUAUAUUGAUUCAUAAUUCACGAUGAUCAUAUUUUUCACAGGAAAAUCUAUCCUGAUAAGAAGUAACACCAACUGGUUCUCAAACGCUUCUCAAUGGCGCGAAUCGGAGCUCAUUGUCGGGUCUGGACAAACACGUCCAUGGUUGUCGUCUCCACUUUCUUGCUAGGUUUAGUCAUUGUUUCGGCUCAAAGAGAAUCCCCAGGCGAGAUAACAGCUGGUUCCAACGACGAUACAUACCCUUUUUCUACUUAUCUUGUCAACGCCAUAGAUUUCCUAUGGAAACCUGGUCGAUCUGGUUAUCAACAUGUCUGGCCAGAAAUGAGAUUUGGAUGGCAGAUCGUUGUCGGCACAUUGAUUGGAUCCUUGGGAGGAGCGUUUGGGAGUGUGGGGGGUGUUGGCGGCGGCGGCAUAUUUGUUCCAAUGUUAAUGCUCAUUAUUGGGUUUGAUCCAAAAUCAGCAACUGCUAUUUCAAAAUGCAUGAUCACCGGUGCAGCCAUCUCGACCGUUUACUUCAACUUGAAGUUGAAGCAUCCUACGUUUGAUAUACCCAUGAUUGACUAUAAUAUGGUGCUGCUCAUGAUGCCCAUGCUCAUGCUGGGGAUUACCAUAGGGGUCAGUUUAAGUGUUGUAUUUGCAAAUUGGAUGAUCACUCUCCUCCUAAUCAUUAUUUUCACAGGUACCUCAAUCAAGGCAUUAUUCAAGGGCGCUGACACGUGGAAAAAGGAAACCAUAAUAAAACAGGAGACCGCCAAGCUUUUGGAGUCUACUGCAACGGCUAGUGGGUUAGCAGAGUACAAGUCUCUUCCAGCAGGGCCUCAAAUGGACACUGAAAAAGCUCAGGUUUCCAUUAUUGGCAACGUUUAUUGGAAAGAGUUCGGAAUUCUUUGCUUUGUCUGGCUAGCAUACCUUGUCCUGCAGAUUGUCAAGGCAAACAUAAUAUCCAUAUUCACAGACUCGCACAGCAACAUGUUCAGUCACAUUCUGGAUAGUAAAUUUUUUACAGGUGCCAGUUUCGUUUGGAGUGUAUCUAUACCAAGCAAUUGGGCUCUAUCAGGGUUGGAAAGCCAUUCCUUCAAAAGGAGAUCAAGGCACUCGUUUGCCAUUGCACCAUCUGAUUCUCGCCAUUGUUUGUGCUGUCACGGCUGGAAUUGUAGGUGGCCUUCUCGGUAUAGGCAGCGGAUUUGUCAUGGGUCCUUUGUUUUUGGAAUUGGGAAUCGCUCCUCAGGUAGCGAGUGCCACAGCCACGUUAGGAAUGACAUUCUCUGCUUCCAUCUCUGUUGUGCAAUAUUACCUUUUGAACCGUUUUCCUGUCCCUUACGCUUUCUAUCUCACCACUGUGGCAGCCAUUUCAGCAUACAUAGGGCAGUACAUCAUUGACAAGCUGGUUACAUUAUUUGGAAGGGCGUCUCUGAUUAUCUUUGUUCUAGCCUUCACAAUAUUUGUUAGUACAAUUGCACUGGGUGGAGUUGGUACGUCAGACAUGAUUGAAAAGAUUCAGCGGAAUGAAUACAUGGGAUUUGACGACUUCUGCAAAUAGGGGCUCUGUUUCAUGGCCUGUACACAAUGUGGUUGCCUCUAGAGUUUUAUGGUCUCGUAUGCGAUAUUCACAUGAGAGGUUGUAUAAGAAUGAUAUUAUAAAUGUGAUUGGUCUUUAUAUUCAUAGCACACUGUUUUGGGGAUAUACGUGUGACUAGCCCUCCAGUUUUUGUCCAUAUUCUAGUUUAUUAUAUAAUAGUUGACACUUGUUCAAAAUAAUUAUUGGUUUCUUU